UGAACUACAUCUGAUAAUAAAGAAAAGUGUGUAUCUAAGGUGGCUUUCAUAGCAUUGUCAGCUUUUAAAAGUACUUUUAGCAUACAUGCUCCUCAAAUAUAUUUAUCCAAGGGGUGAUUUAUAGAGCAAAAGUACAACUAUGUACUGGCAAAAAGUUUCUGCUUAUAUACAUACACUUAUUUACAAAGAAUAUUCGCAUUUUAGAGUUAUAAAAUGUUCUUCUAUGCAGGUAAGACAAAUGGAGAAUGUAAGGGGAAUUUAAAUUAAGUAAAUAAAUACACAAUAACGCAA